rnacentral:tRNA from 1 species
GCCGAAGUGGCGAAAUUGGCAGACGCGCAUGGUUCAGGUCCAUGUCCGGGCAACCGGGUGGGGGUUCAAGUCCCUUCUUCGGCACCA